GGAACUGUAGCUCAAUGGCAGAGUAAUCGCUUGAUAAGCGAUCGGUUGUGAGUUCGACUCUCGCCAGUUCCA
rnacentral:tRNA from 1 species